rnacentral:rRNA from 1 species
UACGUAGGGCGCAAGCGUUGUCCGGAAUUAUUGGGCGUAAAGAGCUCGUAGGCGGUUUGUCGCGUCUGAUGUGAAAAACUGGAGGCUCAACCUCCAGCCUGCAGUGGGUACGGGCAGACUAGAGUGCGGUAGGGGAGAUUGGAAUUCCUGGUGUAGCGGUGGAAUGCGCAGAUAUCAGGAGGAACACCGAUGGCGAAGGCAGAUCUCUGGGCCGUAACUGACGCUGAGGAGCGAAAGCAUGGGGAGCGAACAGG